UUUUUCCUACGGGAGGCAGCAGUGAGGAAUAUUGGUCAAUGGACGCAAGUCUGAACCAGCCAUGCCGCGUGCAGGAUGACGGCUCUAUGAGUUGUAAACUGCUUUUGUACGAGGGUAAACCCCGAUACGUGUAUCGGGUUGAAAGUAUCGUACGAAUAAGGGUCGGCUAACUCCGUGCCAGCAGCCGCGGCAAUACGGAGGAUCCGAGCGUUAUCCGGAUUCAUUGGGUUUAAAGGGUGCGUAGGUUGUUUUAUAAGUUAGCGGUGAAAUACCGAUGCUCAACAUCGGGGCUGCCGCUAAUACUG
rnacentral:rRNA from 1 species